GAUGAACGCUGGCGGCGUGCUUAACACAUGCAAGUCGAACGGAAAGGCCCAAGCUUGCUUGGGUACUCGAGUGGCGAACGGGUGAGUAACACGUGGGUGAUCUGCCCUGCACUUCGGGAUAAGCCUGGGAAACUGGGUCUAAUACCGGAUAGGACCACAUUUUGGAUGGUGUGGUGGAAAGUUUUUCGGUGUGGGAUGAGCUCGCGGCCUAUCAGCUUGUUGGUGGGGUAAUGGCCUACCAAGGCGUCGACGGGUAGCCGGCCUGAGAGGGGGGACGGCCACAUUGGGACUGAGAUACGGCCCAGACUCCUACGGGGGGCAGCAGUGGGGAAUAUUGCACAAUGGGCGCAAGCCUGAUGCAGCGACGCCGCGUGGGGGAUGACGGCCUUCGGGUUGUAAACUCCUUUCGCUAGGGACGAAGCGCAAGUGACGGUACCUGGAGAAGAAGCACCGGCUAACUACGUG
rnacentral:rRNA from 1 species